rnacentral:rRNA from 1 species
GACGAACGCUGGCGGCGUGCCUAACACAUGCAAGUCGAACGGAACUGUUUUGAAAGAUUUCUUCGGAAUGAAUUUGAUUUAGUUUAGUGGCGGACGGGUGAGUAACGCGUGAGUAACCUGCCUUCAAGAGGGGAAUAACAUUCUGAAAAGAAUGCUAAUACCGCAUGACAUAUCGGAACCACGUGGUUUUGAUAUCAAAGAUUUUAUCGCUUGAAGAUGGACUCGCGUCCGAUUAGUUAGUUGGUGAGGUAACGGCUCACCAAGACCGCGAUCGGUAGCCGGACUGAGAGGUUGAACGGCCACAUUGGGACUGAGACACGGCCCAGACUCCUACGGGAGGCAGCAGUGGGGGAUAUUGCGCAAUGGGGGCAACCCUGACGCAGCAACGCCGCGUGAAGGAUGAAGGUUUUCGGAUUGUAAACUUCUUUUAUUAAGGACGAAAAAUGACGGUACUUAAUGAAUAAGCUCCGGCUAACUACGUG